rnacentral:rRNA from 1 species
UCGGGAAUUUUGGGCAAUGGGCGAAAGCCUGAUCCAGCCAUGCCGCGUGUGUGAAGAAGGUCUUCGGAUUGUAAAGCACUUUAAGUUGGGAGGAAGGGUUGUAGAUUAAUACUCUGCAAUUUUGACGUUACCGACAGAAUAAGCACCGGCUAACUCUGUGCCAGCAGCCGCGGUAAUACAGAGGGUGCAAGCGUUAAUCGGAAUUACUGGGCGUAAAGCGCGCGUAGGUGGUUUGUUAAGUUGGAUGUGAAAUCCCCGGGCUCAACCUGGGAACUGCAUUCAAAACUGACUGACUAGAGUAUGGUAGAGGGUGGUGGAAUUUCCUGUGUAGCGGUGAAAUGCGUAGAUAUAGGAAGGAACACCAGUGGCGAAGGCGACCACCUGGACUAAUACUGACACUGAGGUGCGAAAGCGUGGGGAGCAAACAGGAUUAGAUACCCGAGUAGUCCCUGAGCGGGCUGGCAAGGCGCAU